rnacentral:rRNA from 1 species
CCUACGGGAGGCAGCAGUGAGGAAUAUUGGACAAUGGGCGCAAGCCUGAUCCAGCCAUGCCGCGUGCAGGAAGAAGCAUCUAUGGUGUGUAAACUGCUUUUGUACAGGAAGAAACACUCCCUCGUGAGGGAGCUUGACGGUACUGUAAGAAUAAGGACCGGCUAACUCCGUGCCAGCAGCCGCGGUAAUACGGAGGGUCCGAGCGUUAUCCGGAAUCAUUGGGUUUAAAGGGUCCGUAGGCGGUUUAAUAAGUCAGUGGUGAAAUCUGGUCGCUCAACGAUCAAACGGCCAUUGAUACUGUUAGACUUGAAUUAUAAGGAAGUAACUAGAAUAUGUAGUGUAGCGGUGAAAUGCUUAGAUAUUACAUGGAAUACCAACUGCGAAGGCAGGUUACUACUUAUGGAUUGACGCUGAUGGACGAAAGCGUGGGGAGCGAACAGGAUUAGAUACCCUGGUAGUCCACGCCGUAAACGAUGGAUACUAGCUGUUCGGAGCAAUCUGAGUGGCUAAGCGAAAGUGAUAAGUAUCCCACCUGGGGAGUACGUUCGCAAGAAUGAAACUCAAAGGAAUUGACCGGNUGAGAGAGCGAGACGACGACGAGGGAGGAGG